UACGGAGGGUGCGAGCGUUGUCCGGAAUCACUGGGCGUAAAGGGCGCGUAGGCGGCCUGAUAAGUAGGGGGUGAAAAUCCUGCGGCUUAACCGCAGGGCUGCCUUCUAAACUGUCAGGCUAGAGCACAGUAGAGGCAGGUGGAAUUCCCGGUGUAGCGGUGAAUGACGUAGAGAUCCGGAAGAACACCGGUGGCGAAGGCGGUCUGCUGGGGUAAUGCUGACACUGAUGCGCGACAGCGUGGGGAGCAAACAGG
rnacentral:rRNA from 1 species